rnacentral:rRNA from 1 species
GACACGCUGGCGGCGUGCCUAACACAUGCAAGUCGAGCGAGUGAAUCUCCUUCGGGAGUGAAGCUAGCGGCGGACGGGUGAGUAACACGUGGGCAACCUGCCUCAUAGAGGGGAAUAGCCUUUCGAAAGGAAGAUUAAUACCGCAUAAGAUUGUAGCUUCGCAUGAAGUAGCAAUUAAAGGAGCAAUCCGCUAUGAGAUGGGCCCGCGGCGCAUUAGCUAGUUGGUGAGGUAACGGCUCACCAAGGCGACGAUGCGUAGCCGACCUGAGAGGGUGAUCGGCCACAUUGGGACUGAGACACGGCCCAGACUCCUACGGGAGGCAGCAGUGGGGAAUAUUGCACAAUGGGGGAAACCCUGAUGCAGCAACGCCGCGUGAGUGAUGACGGCCUUCGGGUUGUAAAGCUCUGUCUUCAGGGACGAUAAUGACGGUACCUGAGGAGGAAGCCACGGCUAACUACGUG